GGAAUUAAAAUGUAACCGAUAAAGUCUUUUAUUUUGAAAGUGUUAACACUUCCGCCUACGUAUCACGAAGGCGGAAGGAGGGCGGAGACAAAGAUGUCGUCAAUUAUUCGACUAUCUUAUUUAAACCACGAAGAGUUUAUUACGGAGGUAAUUAGGGAAAAAAAACAAUUUCUAGAAACAUGUGACCAACGGUGGAGAUUCUAAUUAGAGCUGAGAAGUUUCUGUCAUCUUAUAAAGUUCUGGUGGAAAAAUGACGACAUUUUUUAGUAAAGAAAAAGAAAUUGUUACGUGGAUGGACCUUUUACUAUUUUACUUCUUCUACCUGAUUUGGCCACUGGGUGGAGCCAUUUACUCAUUCUAUGGACCAUCGAUGUCAUGUGCUGAUCAAGUGGGAGACGAUCCAUGAGGAGGAUUUCACGACACCUCGACCUCUGUCUUUAUUUUUAACCACAGCACGGCGUCAAGACGAGACGGCUAACGCUAGCUGAUGCUAAUGCAUCUGUAGCAGAUCCAGCUGACCUGUGCGUCCUGAAGGAGACACACCAAGGACACGAGGACAAAGGACACACAGCAGGUGGACAGGGACAGGACUGGAACUGAUUCAUGUUUAUGGAUGACUGCUGCAGAUGCAUGCUGGGACACGAGUGGCUAUGCUAAUGCUAGCCGUCAGAGAUGCUAAUGGAGAUCCAGCUGUGAGGACGUGAGCGUCUUUAUCUCACUUCCUCUCCUAUUAUGACUCCUUUCCUCUUCCUCCUGGUGUCCACUUCCUCUUCACACGUCCACCGUGGGGGCUGUGACAUCAUCGCACGCCCAUUGUCCCCGUCCAGCUGUUGGACAGGAAGCUGCAGGCUGGUCAUGUGACUCCAACCACCGUGAUGAUGACACCUGAGUCAGGAAAACCAGAUUG